UGAAUUAUCGGACACUGAAGAACUCAUCCAUCAUUGCCGUAACUCACAACUCACCAGCUGGAGUUUUUGAGCUUCGCACUAUCUAUUUAUCACUAGGUUGUAAAGAGGCUUAAUAUAAUCUGAUCGAAUCAGACCUGAUUCUGGAUGGAGCAAGUAAUAGAGAGCAAGUUAAGCAGACGGAUUCCUGAAGGAUACCUAUCUGGUAACCAAGGUCGUGGAUACAGAUUCACGUGAUUACUUUAGUGUUUGGUCCAGAUGUCUACCUUUUUCUCAAGACAGAUAACUGGAUUUGAUAAACUUGAAAAGGAAAUAGAAACAAGGAUCUUGACAUUUUUCCCUUUGCUCAAAUUGGUAUGCACUUGCAAACAUACUCUAGACUGUUCCAAAUCAUGGAGCAUGUAUGUCUAGGUAUGAAGUUUGACAAAAAUUAUUAAGUCUGAUUAAACUAUCGGUAUUUAUUCACUUUUUUUAGUAAAUCAUAACAUUCUAAAUUCACUUUGACCUAGAACUUCGUUAUGUACCCCC
rnacentral:lncRNA from 1 species